UUAAAUUCACUGACGGUUAAUCAAUCGUAAUUUAAGAGACAAUAAUCACUUGUGCAGUCAUGGUUUAUAGCCCUGUAACUAUGACGCUUUGGAGCUCUGACUCGAGAUAUGACACUUUAAGGUGACUCCUUUGGGCCACAUUUUCAGCUGUAAUGCCUUUCAAGAAGUGUGACAUAAUAACGCAUACCAUGUAAAUUUCUUUGAAGUUCACUGAAUUGCAGAGCUAGGUGUUGGUCACUGAUUCCUUAAGGCAGUUUGGUGCAUUUUACGCAUUAGCUGAGGUGCUGGUAAUGCACAGAGUUGGAGGGAGACAGAAAUGUGAGCCUUAAAAAUGAAGAGCAAGACGGAAACCCUUGUAUUAAAACUGUAAGGCAGGCCGACCAGCUUUCCAACAUUGGGAGUCUUUAUUUUCCAAUUAGAUGAUUCUUAAUGUCUCGGAAGUGAAGUAUAUUGCCCGUUUAAGCGUGAGGCAGUCCCGGAACAAAAGCUUUCACAGAGGGUUGGAUUCAGGUUCCUCUGAUGUAACAGCGCUCGCAUCUGGCGCAGCGUUUCUCUCUCUCGACCAUUCGCUGUUUUUAAGAGCACAUCCCAAAUAAACCGAUGCGAUUCGCCCGGGCGGGUCGGACAUUUCAUUCGACUUCACAGUGUGCGAGAGAGAGAGAUGGACCUUCACAUUUUGGAGCACCGGCUCAGGGUGACGAGCCUCAGCAAAGCCGGGCUGGAGCGUUACACACACGGACUCAUCAAACUCGUCUUCUUGCGGGAUAAGACCAGGUGUAAGUUUUUCAGCCUGACUGAAAUGCCUGAUGACUACACACUGGUAUUAGAUGAAGAGGGAUUUAAAGAGUUACCUCAAACAGGCUAUCUACAAGUGGCAGAAGCAACAUGGCUGGCACUGAAUGUUGUGUCCAACGGUCAUUCAUCAACCAGUUCUCAAACAAUUGGAGUGACAAAGAUAGCGAAGUCCGUGAUUGCUCCCCUAGCCCAACAUAAUGUUUCUGUAUUCAUGUUGUCGACCUACCAGACUGACUUCAUACUGGUUCGGGAGAGUGAUUUACCAGCAGUUAUUCACACCCUGUCUGAAGAAUUCAGUAUCUACAAGGAGGAGAAUGGGGAAUCGGUUCCAGUGGAUAGUAACAAUGUCACAAAUGGCUUUAUAAAACCCAAAGCUGCUGCCAGCCCCACAGUUCAUCCAGUGUUAAGUCCCAAGAACCAAUUCUGUGUAAUGAGCUUGGACCCAGAUACUCUUCCCACUAUUGCCACUACUCUCAUGGAUGUAAUGUUCUACUCUGCAAGUUUGAAAGCUCGGUCGGCAGAUCAGGAUGUUGGCUACAUUCGUUUCUUUUCUUUUUCCUUGAUUGAUGGCUAUAUUUCAAUUGUAGUGGACACACAGACACAGAAGAGAUUCCCCAGUAACCUGCUACUCACAAGUGCCUCAAAUGAGCUAUGGAGGAUGGUGCGGAUAGGUGGACAGCCCCUGGGAUUUGAUGAAUGUGGGAUUGUUGCACAGAUCUCCGAGCCUCUCGCAAAUGCUGACAUUUCCGCAUACUACAUCAGCACCUUCAAUUUUGACCAUGCACUGAUUUGGUGCAGAUUUCCUACCAACCAAUCAGGUCACAGCUUUCCUGUGAAGUCACUUUUCCAAUUUUGACUUCAGUUACUCUGUGCCCUGAGGUCACCACUCCGGUGCUCCUCCCUCCGAGUCUGCUCCCUGGAGACAAGGCCGUGAAUCCCUGUGGUGCCUGAAGAAGAUAUUGAUAGUGUUAUCACUAUGCUGCAGAAACGUCAGAAUGCUGAAAGAUAGCAAAGAUCACCUGACUUUAUAUUUACAAUUACUUCAUCCGUCAAGUUGAUGUGUAAACUUUGAAGACCAGGAAUUACCAUUUCCCAAAAGCCUGUGCUGUCAGCAUAAGACACACAUUUAGACUAAUGGUUUUCUACAAUAUUUAGUAGUUAGGCAGUUUACUUAGAAUAAGGUUAGCUAAUUUUCUUCAGGAAAUUCAGUUAAAUUCUGUUUACUACUUCAAUGAUUGAACCCUUGCACACAGCCAUGAAAAUUUGCAUUACUGUUUUGCACUUAAUGCCUUCAAUAUGUGAAAGACCUGCAAAAGUGCCCCAUUUGCUUCUUAAGAUUAAACUGGAUAUAAUGUGUGAAAUAGCUUUAAAAUGCUAUGUAAUGCAGGUAAGCUGGGCCAUGAACCUUGAAAUGUUUGACUUUUUUUUAACAAGCCUCCUAUCUGGGGACUUCUUAAAUCUAAGCCUGAGAAAAAUGAAGACUGGGGAGGGGGGAUAGUGGUUGUGGGGAGGUUUAUAGCUUUAUUCAACCCUCUCUGAUAUGUUAUUGGAAUUCGUUUCUGGAUGAAUUUUUAGCCUGAUAAUAUGGCUGUAAUGAACUAUAUUCUUUAAUUUUCCCUGAAAGUCUUAUUUAAUUCUACUUGGUUUCUAAGUAUUUUAAUAUACUGCACUUAUAAUCCUCCGAGGUCUGUAUUUAAGUGGUGCUGCUACUCUUCCACUACAAUGAGCUUUCUUUAUUUCGGGAAGCCAAAAAAGAGGAGAUCGAGGAGUGUGGAAUAAGAAAGCUGUCAUCUUGCAGUUUUUAUUCAUGGACCAUUUGACAGGUGCUUUAGUCGCACAGCAACCAGUGUAUGCUGACCUUAGAAGUUAAUUAUUUUAUUAUUAGGAACUGAAGCCCUGUAGCUGUGAAGUUAAUUGCUGGAUAGGCUUCUGGUUGCUGGCUGUAAACUUGUUUUUUGUGAUUAAGUGUUAUUAAAAUAAUUAAUUUACAAAA